AAAGAUGGAUGUAACCUAGAACAUGACAGAUCUUGUAUAACAGAAAGUCAAGAUUCUUGAUUUAGGCUCCCAAAGAAAGGAAGAAAAAAUCCAAGGCAAAGAAGUAGACGGGCUCUGGAUUACAUCCUGACAUGACCUACUCAUGGAGGUACACACAGCCUUCAGCCGUAGGAGGCUGCCACCAACGGUGCCUGCAGUACCAAAGAUACUGCCAUAAAGAGUGGGAGACAACGGACAUUGGUACCAGCUGGAUCAUCAAACCACCUCUGAGGUUCAGAAGAUAGUUCACAGACCCACUUCAAAAACACACAAAAGGUGUUAAAUGGCAGCCUGCAAGGAAGUAAAGAAGAAAGCUGGGGAAGAAGUUCAUCAGAAGCCGGAGAAGGGAGGGAUCUGCUGCGGC